rnacentral:rRNA from 1 species
GAUUAACGCUGGCGGCGUGCCUAACACAUGCAAGUCGAGCGGCAGCGAGUUUUACACUGACUUCUGGAAGCUUCUAGUUGAAAGAGAAGAUUUAUUCAAGAAUUUUGUGUAAAAUGUCGGCGAGCGGCGGACGGCUGAGUAACGCGUGGGAACGUACCCCAAAGUGAGGGAUAACGCAUCGAAAGGUGUGCUAAUACCGCAUAUGGUCUUCGGAUUAAAGCCUUCGGGCGCUUUGGGAACGGCCUGCGUAAGAUUAGAUAGUUGGUGGGGUAAUGGCCUACCAAGUCGACGAUCGUUAACUGGUUUGAGAGGAUGCUCAGUCAGACUGGAACUGAGACACAGUCCAGACUCCUACGGGAGGCAGCAGUGAGGAAUCUUCCACAAUGGGCGAAAGCCUGAUGGAGCAACGCCGCGUGCAGGAUGAAGGCCUUCGGGUUGUAAACUGCUUUUAUAAGUGAGGAUUAUGACAGUAACUUAUGAAUAAGGAUCGGCUAACUACGUG